CAAGCUUUAUUCCACUGAUACCUUACACACAAAGCACAGUCGGAAGCUGCCUGCGGGAACGCGGCAGACGGGAAACAGAGGGGAGUGAGGUCGUGGUCGGCGGACAGAAGGCUGGUGCGGUUUUCUUUUGGGGGGAGUCCAGACGGGCACGGCCUGCAAUGGGAUACCGGUUGGAGGGCAAAUGCGGGAAAGUCUGGCAUAACGCGGAGAACUAUCAGGCAGCGAGUGAGUGAGUGGGUUUUAAAUAAUGAAGGGAGUGAGUGCAGCCGGGUGGACAGCUGGGUGGGAUUGAGCUGACACGGUGGAUGUGACUAGCAGGUGCUCUGAAUAAACUGAUUGGGUGUGUGAAAGACAGAGUGGUAGGGGGAGAGUGGGACGCUGAACUUUGACAAAAUAAAUAACAGACCUUGGCCUCCAUUUUUGUAAAUCUGGGCCUCGUUUGAAUAAAAUCUAGGUAGACACAGUGCACGGAUAUUAGUGACAUGUAAAUGUCCCACCCACACUUUAACAUCUAUUGACAAUGUAGAUGAUGUAUUUUGAAUUGUUCUGCUACCUCCAAUCCUCCCAGCCUGUACCCCUCGGGCUGCUCCUAUCCACUACACAAACGAAAUAGAGGACUACCCACUGUCUCCAAUAGUCCCCAAAGUGUCCCAGUGGCUCCAAAGCCCACUGUCUGAUAGCCAUGCAACAAACCAAAGCACAUGGCUACUGUUGAAUGCCUGAGCCCACAGCUCCACUUCUGAUUGGCAACAUGUUGUCUUCCUCGGUCAGGAUGGUUUGGUUGAGGUUCUUUGUCCUUUGUCCUUUGUUGACCUCUGUAAUAUUGGAUGUUAUUCUGAGGAAUAACAGGCUGUCAGACAUAUUGGGGUUUCAGAACAAUGGCAUGGCGCUGUAAACAGCAGCCAGUACUUUAACAUAGGGAAUGGGAUGAGCAUAAUGGUGUCUCAGAUGUAGGAAGUCUUGCACACUAGUAUCCCACUGCCCCAGACUGGAUAACUGUCAAGCUGGUGUUGCUCCCGUACAGUUCAUCUUUAGUGAUUUGAGGUGUCAGAUCCAAGUGAGAAAAUAAAGUCAACUUCUUUCAUUUCCCUCAAAAAAAUAAUAAUUUGCAAUCAUCACAACUUCUGAAUGCCAACACAAAGUCUUUUGCUUGUCCAUGAGAGUAUAAGCAGGCCUGCUUGCGGGAGCACUGCCCCCCCCUCGCCUUCGCUGCGUGGUCAUCAUUGUGUUUACAUUGAAAAGGUGGUGGAAACCACUUGCCUUGUCAGAAAGCACAUUUCUUUUUGUUGAUUAAGAGCAAUACGUUAUUUUCAGGCAAAGCACUCACAUGAAGGUCAGCACAUGACCUUUAAGAGCAGUUCAAGCCUAUUUCUUGUCUUUUAGGCGCUGAGUGCCAAUGUGGAGUCACAUAGCUAAAUUCAACAUUCCAAAUAUGCUGACAAGGAAGAUGAUGCCAACUUUCUGUCCCGCAUUUCUUCUCGGAAAUUGCCCCUUAAUCUUCUUUGUGUGUACAACACUUUGUUACUUGGCUCUAGUACAAGUCCUUCAUUGAUGGCUUUGUCGUUAUAUUUUUUUUAUAAAGACACCUCACUGAGUAAAAUGUCCCUUAAUUAUCCAGACAGAAGGACUCUGGCCUCUUACUGUGCGAAGGAUGGAAAAAAGCCAUUUUCAGUUGAAUCACUUUUUAUAAAAGUCCCCUUCAGUUUAAUCACUUUGCAGCUGGUUGAAGUCACUGGUUGUGCCAGUUUUCCUUCCUGUAUUUACAAAGACAGCCCGUCCUCUCUUAUUACGAGAUGUGUUAAGUCUAGAAUGUCCCAGAGAAACCCAUAAACCUCAGUCUUUCGAAGUAUAGUGUUUAAAAAACAAACAAGGAAAACAUUUGAGCCCUGGGUUUAGUCCUCUGAGUCAUAAACAAUAAUAAUGAGAAAGGUUCACAAGGUUAAGUCAAUCGCCCAUUAAAUGUGACUGUAAAGCGACAGUGCGAGUGUUUACAUGCAUUGUCAUACUAGCACUGAACCAUCAAAGACUGCAGCCCAGUAUCGAUUUCGCACUGUAUGAGUGACUUGUAUCAAAAACAUGUGAAGUUAUUUUGCAUUCCCCUCUGUGCAUUUGUUCAUCCAGGGUGCUUUGAUCAUUCUGCCAAUGAACGAGGAUAACGUUCAAUAAAAAAAUAAAUAUGAUACAAGAAAAAUGCAUGCAAAGACACGCUCUUUAGGCUUGCUCAACUUUUACAAAGUUUGAUGCAUUUCUUUUCAUGUUACAGCUCCUUGGAAAAAGACGAAUGUUAGAGUCCAACUUACAGAUGUAAGGUCCAUAAAAUGUCCCGAAUGCACUGAACGUAUAUUAAUCCUAAACCUAUUAAGUUAGAAGUCUCAAUGUUCAGCAUUUCUCCACCCUGUUAUUAAUAUUUAUAGUUUCACUGCCAGUCAUGAUCCAAUACUCGCUUUAAUCGUUGACACAGAUCUGAAGAUCAAAAAGAAACAUACCCUGAUGUCUAAUUUGUCUGCAGCUUUGGACGGCAUUAUCCCUGAUGAAUAAUCCAUGUAUGGUCGAAUGAAGUCCGCCAAGGCCGUAAAGCUAUCAUAACAAAGCACAGAGUCAUCUCUGCACGGCGCUGUGAGCAGAGACCAUGGGAUGCCUGCUCCUUCACCUCCGACAGAGGAGAAGUGACAGAGAAGAAUGACGCAGGUUAUGACGCUGUGAACUUUAAAUUGGUAACUAGUAUUGUGGCUCCCAAACAGCGGGCCGCAGCAGGAGGUACAUGUCUGUUUUCUAAAGUCCGCUCGGCUCAGACAAUGGCACCGGCUCACAUUGUGCCAACACCCACUACUUCUGCUCAGAAGGCCGCAGGCUGCCAGCGAGAGCCGCCAGGCCUGGUCAUGGACUUCGGAGGUGUGGUGCAGUGAUGAUGGUUGGUCUGGUCUGGCAAUGUGAGCGUGUGAUCAACAGACUGCCACUUGGAUUAAAAGCCAAGUCAAGGUCGCAUAAUAUUACUCAGAAACCAAGGAUAUAGGCAUUAAAGGUUAAAUAUUCUAAUUAAAUGAUGUCCUAGUUAAAUAACUAAUGAGAUCACACACCGUCAUCAACUAUGACCUCAAUGGGGAUACAAUUUUCCUUUGGACAAAGUUGUUUUAGCUGACAUCCGUAUUGAGCUGGCUGGGUAAAAAGACUUUUUGUGCUAGGUUCAAAAGAUUGUCCUGUAUUCACAUCCUUGCAAAGGUUAGCUAACAGAGGAGGCAGAUGGUGCAGCUGCUUCCAAUUUUAGUAUGAAUGAAGUCUGGGAAAACACAACUGAUCAAUAGGCUGUAAUAGGAAAGACACACCCAUUACGGUAGACAGUCCAUAUACUCCGUCAACAUCUGCCAAGGGUGUGGCGGCCGGUCUUUACAUCUCCUUCUCAUUCUAGUCACUUUCUCUCUGUCGAUUUGCAUUCUGACAUGUUUAAUGACAUUAAUUUAAUACAUUAAAGAUGUCAAGUGGCGUUACACAGGUCCAUGAUAACCAUCAACUCUUUGCAUGAAGUUUGUAGGACCUCAAGGAAUUUUCUACACUGCUGCCAAUGGCAGUCCUGCCAACCCGGUGAGCCCACACUGCAAGAAUUCAGUUUGACUUCAAUAUUUCAGGAGCAUGAACGGCCUUCUAAGUAAAAAGUUAGCUGAAUAAUGAGAGCAGCAAGUCAGAGGUAAAGACUUUUUAUACAUUACAUUAAUUUUUAAAUGGGUCUAAAUUUCAAAUCAAAAUUGUGUCUGUUCCCUCUUCAAACUGCUCCACAUAUUAACUACUGUAAUGUACUUGGUUAUGGGAGGGCUACACAAACGAUGUCCUGCUGUUACAAGGUUGUUAAAAACACAUAUUUUUACAAACUUCAUCGCCAAAAUACAAACUUCCCAUGUGAGACUUCUCCAACUCCCUGUUGGUUUUGGAAAUGUAACAUCUGCAAACCGACUGGAUUUGUGCUUGUAUAAAAUAGUUUUGAGCAACAAUUUGGGCUUUUCAUGGUAAUACUUCAAUGAGUGUGUGAAUCCAGAAUAGUAUAAUGACACACGAUGUUUCUAACGAGCCUGGUUGGCUAGUUCUCUUUGUCAUGGCCCUAGGCGUUUGUUGUUGAUAGAAAGACACCCUUUGGCCUCUGAGACAAAGUCUGUGUGGAAGAGAGGACAGGGAGGACGGACAGUUUUGGUCAAACCUAAUACUUGUUCCAAAAGUCCACCUAUCCUGUUCAGUGUGAAACCUGGGUAAAAAUUGACUUAUUCAUAUUGUAUAUGUUGUGUAACCCAAUGACAAAACGCUAUGAUUAUUUACUAAACAUAUCCAAGUAGUUCUGUUGCUUUAACUUAGCCUAGUAGUUAGUCAGCGUGUUUACAUGGAUUCGAAUAACUGGCUUAGUCGGACUGAAAUCGAAUUAUCCGUUUCAUGUAAACACCUUUGUCCGACAAUGUGCGGUCCGACUACGAACCCCUGGAUAACUCGAUCCGAUCCAGUUGAUAAUUUGACUAUUGUGGCAUUUAAUGUGACUUUGCGUCUUUGCGCAUGUGUGAGAUCCCAACGGCGUCUUCUCUCCGUUAUCAAAUCAGCCAAUAGCGCCAUUCACAUUUGCUGUGCUCCUAUUAACAUCAUGCAAACAUAGUAGAGGGAUGUAGCUUCACCUUGCUCUCCGUUCGCCAUGUUGUUGUUGUUGGUAGUGGUGUAGAGGUCAAGCGGAAAUGGCUGUAUCACAACUAGUUGUAAUGAAAACAGCGCCACAUAUCGUAUCGGAUGACAUGCUUUCGGCCAAUGAUUCGAUUUAUUCACUGCCAUGUGUAUUGGGAUAAUAGCACUUGCUCCGAAAGAUAGCAUAGUCCGACUAAGCAAAGAUUCCAAUUAUACCAUCAUGUAAACACACUGUGACACAACAGAAUAUUAAAAUAUGUAUGAUCACGAGAGAAAGUGACUGCUAGCAAGCUAAGAUCACUUUCAACUACGAUACUAUACCAUUACAAAUAAUCACUCUUCAAAUUGAUCAUAUAUUUUUUUUUAAAGAUGAUCUCUUAAAUUGAAAAAUCAAAAAGAAAUUUUCAGUCAGCUAAGAUUUUCGGCAACAUUGUUCAGAAUGUCUGGACCAAAUUCCUACUCUAAACUGUUGAUUUUAACUUUAUUUACAGUUAAAACAGUUUGUGAGAUUACAACAGUAGCCAACAAGAGUUUCAAUACAUGUCUACUUAUAAAAGGUCAUUGCCCACUUUAGAUAGAGAUCCUGUCCUUUUAGCGUAAUCUCCUUUAACUCAUAAUAAAAUGUUUAGUAAAAUGUUUGAUGGCUAGAUGCUAGCUGUUUGACGCUUGGCAGGUAUUGCUCUUUGGAUUUAACGCAGCUCGGCUUUUAGUUUGGUCCAACUCAUCCUGUUUUUGUUGUCAAGCUAUUUAUUGUGGCGGUGAAAAUGCUGCCCACAACAUGCAAUCUGCAGUUUUUUACAAGACUGUUAAAGUUAUAUUAAUGAACAAUGUGUAAUGGAAUUUACAGCGUAGGAGAGCCACAGGGGGCCCUCCCACAAGCCUCACUAUUUGCUCUGGAGCUGUAGAGAGAUAUGAAGCAGUUAUGUUGGAAGAAUUGUAGAGCCCGCCUCUGGACUGACAGAAGAAGACCUGCCAGGCCUUUCAAGCCGUACCCAAAUCCCCCCCGGCUCAGACCUCGCACACAUGGAUCACCGGAACGUUUCUUUGCGUGAGGGAUGCAGGCAUGGACAAAUACACACACACCACACACACACAUACACACACACACAGCACGUCACCAGAGUGAUGCUGCGCAGACAAGAUGAGGUCAUAUGUUUCAUGUUAGCUGAUCUAAGCCCAGUCCCCUCGAUACUUAAGUCAGUGACAAGCCGGUCGGUCCCGCAAGAAUUUAAGCUUGAUAAUGCUGCGGCUGAUGAUGAUUAACUGGUGGUCGUUGAAAAUGGGCUUUUUAAUCUCUCCUACCAACUGGAAAUCUUGAUUGUGUAUGUACGUGAGACUGGCGUGUGUGUGAUUGUAGGCUUUUUUCUUUUUGACUAAAGUCCAUCUUCCUUCCCACAGCUGGACGUGCAUAGGCCUUACCAUCAGCCGGCAGCUGGGCUUGUCCGCCAAUCAGCCACCUGCAUGAUUACCAACAGCUGGAAAAGUACUGCUGGGGUGGGGGAGGGGCUGCACAGGCUCGGGCUGGUGGUGGUGAAGGAACGGGGGGCUGAGGGGAGUUGAAGAAGGAAGAAGGGGGAAAUAACAAGGAGGCCUUGAAAGAAGAAUAGAGACAAUAGUGACAUCAAGUCAAAGUAAAGUAAGGGAUUCUUUUGUUGUUGACAUGACUUUUUUUGAUAGGCCCCUAAGAGGACAUUAUAUAUAUAUAAUAUAUAUAUAUUUUGUCACAUGUAUCGUUGCAGAUGUCCUUUAUUGCCCUGUUGUGGCAAAAUGAUGUGAGGUCACACAUUUGAAGGGAGAGGACCCCUCGAUAUGAAACACAUGCAGCUUGUAACACGUAUUUGCAGGGUUUGAAAAAUGUUGAGGAAUUGGGUUCUGUUCAUGGACAUUCGGAUAUUCUGCCCCACUUCGAAGCUGUCACAUUUUUUGAAAUUCUAUAUGAGUAAUGCAAAUCUUUUAGUGUCAACGGCAUAAAGGUUGACCUUUAUAUGAAAGGCAGUAAUGGUGUUCCUUAUUCAUUGCCCUGGGCGAAAUGGAAAUAUAAAACGGCUGAACUCGGAGUGGCCAGAGGAAGGUAAUUGCUUCUGCCAUCCUCAAACAUUUUCCUCCCCGCUUCCAACUUGUUAGAGGCCAAUCCGAGGCACAUCAUUUUCCCCGUGAACCUCUCGCAUCUAUGUUCCCUCGCCGCGCGUAAUAAACACAACGUGCUAGCUGUGCCUUCAGUUUCGUAACCAUAACAUAGUGAGUGUUUUUAAUGACACUUCUUUCGCUUUGUCAGACUAAGGGCAGCUCGCUCACCUCUCGGUGGCUUUCUGAGCCGCCUCGGUUUGAUUGCGUUUCCUCUGCUCUGCUGUGAAAUCCACUGCGGUUAUAAGGACAUUCAUCACUCUCGCUCAAUGGCUUUUAAGUUUUUCAAAAGGGGAACUCUUACAUCUAUGGUCAAAGAUUUUUGGAAAUAGUGUUUAAAAUCCCUGUUUUUCUUUGCAGUCAAUGAAUGACCUUUUCUAAAAAAAACAGUAAUCCGUCAAACUGACUUGUCGUCCCCAUCUUGCGUGCUCGUUUAGGACGGUCCCAACAUCAGUUUGUCAUUUUCCCGUCUACGCUUCAGGCUGUCCUGGAACUAAUCCAUAACAAAGAAUAUGAUCACAGACUUUACCCAUGUCCCUCAGUCCACUUUGAAAGAAGGAAUAACGUUUUCAGUUUUGUUUCGGAGCCACCGAGCCUCCCUCUUGUUUUUCAAUCUAAGUCCACACAACGUGAUUGGUUGAUGGCUCAUUUUAGGAGUGCGGAAGCUCAGAACUAUUGACCUCCAAACUCCACUUUCUUGCAGCAUAAUUUUUGAGUUCUGUGUAAAAGUAGCGAGCAUUUCUCAGUUAUGUCCACAAACACUGCAAGUAUUUUCGAACGAGGGCGGCGAAAGAGCCAAAGACCACAGACUGUGGAGUCGCUUGAAGGGGACAAGCCUUCCGAGCCAGCGUUGUUGUUCUGGGACAUGCAGCAUAGGGGCGAGAUGACAGCCAGAGAGGGGGAGAAGACACAGUGGCAGGACUGUGGCCUGUCUUCCUGUAUCAAUCUAAUCUGGAUGUAAACACAGCUGCUGUGAAGCAACUCAUGCAUGGCCCUCUACACCAGCUGGCUGUGCAAAAUGAACUUUGACCCAGCAGCGAGCCUAUUCCUGGGGAGAAAUCCACGAGUAGCUUGGGAAAAGUAAAUCCUACAGUUGGGUGUAGCGUGUCAUUCCAAGGGGACAGGCUUUGUCUAUAAGGCAAUCCCUGGUGUGGUGCUGUGCCUCUUUCUCAGCCCACACAGACUCGCAUGUAUCCUGGAGACAACUAUGCAAUCUGAAAGACAGCCCAAACUCUGUUCAGCUCUUUCUAUCAUGGAGUUUGCCCGUGUAAAUGGCUUGAAUCAGGUAACUUUUCAACGGAACAUGAGGAUGACAUCAUUCCUUGGUGAGGAGAAUGACUCACAGGCUAAGAAGUCAAAACCAGGCCCCCCAGUAGAAACAAAGCAUAACUUGUGCUUUUUCUCCCUACUUUUUCCAUGCAGACACGCAAGAGAUAAAAGAGGGAAUGAGGCGGGAAAAAAAAAAGAGGACACACAACUUCAGACGGAGCGGGAAACAACAAUACAGAUAAGGUAGAGUUUGUGGGAGGAAUGAAGGGUGGAAAAAGUUUCAAAAACAUGCACAAAUAAUAAUAUAAAAGUGAAAGAGGAGAAAAGAUGAAAGUGGGUUUUUCCACGUCGCUUUGACUUAUAAAACCUGGGAAAGACAACUGUGUGAAGUUCUGGAAACUCGAGGGUAGCUCACAGCGAGAUCCGGUAUAACAAAACACAGCAAGAAAAGUGAAGCAUCCAAAAGAAAUCCGCCGCAACAUCUGAAAGAGAACAGCGGUGGGAGAAUGCAUGGUCACCACCAAUUGAUACGCCCUCAAAAGUCUUGCAAAUGUUUUCUUUUAAGGAUUAUAGUGUCUUUUUAACUACUGCUCUGCUCUGUUGUUUUCUUAUUGUUAGUGAAGAGUGAGGCUGAGCAAACACCAUGUCUGAUCUAAAAACACAGAUGUUUGACAGGAAAUUAAAUGCUGUGGCCACUCUGUGCCUAUACCUUCCAAGAAGUCCGGGUUCAUCUUCUGUUAAAUUCACAAGAACAUAACAGCGCUGAUAGACAGCCCGAGAUUGAUCUGAAUAGAUAAAUAGCUAAUUAGGUGAACUGAGCCAGGAGCGGCAAGUCUCCAAAAGGAGCACACAGUCCAAGUGGAGUCCAACUUUCCCUUCCCAGACUGUGGAAAACAAUACUAAUAUGCAGUUUUCUCUGGUUAGUGAUGGAGAGGCAGAGAUUUCUGGUUCAAGUCCUGUGCUGCCGGGGCAUCGCCGAUGCUGCCGCAUUGUCAGAGGCCUGCAUGCAAGCACUCUCCUCAAGGUAGUUUUGCCGCAGCUUUCAGAUGAAGGUUGGUUUUGGGAAGGGGAAGAAACCGUCCAAGUGUCAACACUGGAGAUUGAUGCUUUUAUUUGCUGUCACCCGCAACCCACAAAGUAUUCACUCCAAGGAAAGUGUUGCAUUCUCUCAUUCAAGGAAUACUUCAGAGGCAUGCAUUUGCAAGUGAAUACCAGAAAUUGGACGGAUGGGGUUCAACGUGUUGGAACAUCAGGCCUUUGUUUCACUUCAAACUCCUUCUUGCCCAAUGACUUUGGUUUCAGAGGUUCUGAGUAUUCCGAUUGACCACAAACCAACAAUCAUUUUCUGCGAAUGGUAGGCUUUAAUUUCUGUUGAUAGCCCUGCACACCACACCAAUCUCAGUUUAGAACCAAAGUGUUUCUGUUUGUAUAGAAGCCAAAAACCUGGCCCAACUAAAUUCGCCUGCCCUCUGCACUCGUUUACAGGCCUGACCUGAGGCAGAAAAUGCAGAAGAACGUUCAAGUUCAAACAGCCUGAAGGCCGACCAUGGAAACUGACAGGAGCCUCAAAAUGUCAUGAUGGGCCAGAGUGCGUGACGUGGAGGGGCAAGGCCCACGGUGAAAUUAACGAGGGAGAAAUUCGUCAGAGGCCACAUUCUUUGACCCAAGUGUGACCUCACAAUUCCUGAGGCCUCCCACCAGAUGAACAACACUGAGUAAGAUCUAAGAUUACACAUGGUUAAGGAAACGAUCCCAACACAUAUUAGACUGUGGUGAAACACAACGCGAAUAGAUAUUUAGGCAUGAGGGUUUGAAUGACUAAGCUUUUCUGGAGCUGAGAUCAGGCCUCCAUCUCCGCAUACAUCCCUGUCAUGGUCGUAAAACAUUCUGCUCCCACAUCAAGGAGUUUAGUGUAAUUGCUUUGCUCGUCAAGCAAGGGGACAUGGGACAAAACUAAAUCUAAGUAAAGGAGGGGAGCAAGUGUCCUUGAGUGCAGGCAGUGUGUGGCUUGUGGUAACUCUGAGGAGGGAGAUUAUCGGUUUGUGCCAGCUCCACAUUUCUCAACGUAAAGUUUUGGCUUUAGGUUACCAGUCAAGGUGAGAAGGGGUUUUGUAAUUCAAUUCUUGUGGACACGCUGCACUUAUUUAAAGUAACAUUAGCCACCCACUUUUAAUCCUGCUCAGUUAAGAUUGUAAUAAACGGGCUCGUCUUGCAGCACUUUAGUCAAUCAAGUUUAUUGCUGUGAAAGUCCAUGAUGAGGCUAAUGAAAAGGAAUUGUGGAUUGCAGUAAACAGCUUGGAAAUCAAGUUCUUUCCUCACAGUUUAGUUAAAGCUCUUUAAUCCCAAGAUCCCAAACUUUCGAAACAUUGCAAAAAUCUUUACAAAACAUUUAAACAACAUGAAAAGAAGAACAAAAAUGUAGUGUAGUCUUAGUGAAAACCCACGUCAUUUUCAGUACAGAGCUAAAAUCGGCUAAACGGAGCCACAGGGAGAUGUCUCAAUAAUCAAUACCCUCACCUAGUAGGUCUGAAAGAAAUCUGUACACCACAACCACUUAUGCUAGACUCUAAUGCUUAUAUUGCGCUAAUGCAAAAAAAACAAAGCAAUGAAAGCCGUUGACUUUCAGCUUCAAACUAAAGGCAUUUGUUUCUGCAGGAAGAGGCUUGAUGCAUUAAAAUUAAAGUUGA
ensembl:lncRNA